UCUAGAAGGAAGCAUGAUAAUGUGCACAAAAAUUAAAUUGGGUGUUUAGGUCUGUCCUCUCUGAUGCCAUUCGGCUUUGAUUUGGGGGCAUGAUGCCGCAACAAAACA